rnacentral:rRNA from 1 species
UAGGGAAUAUUGCUCAAUGGGGGGAAACCCUGAAGCAGCAACGCCGCGUGGAGGAUGAAGGUUUUCGGAUUGUAAACUCCUUUUGUGAGAGAAGAUAAUGACGGUAUCUCACGAAUAAGCACCGGCUAACUCCGUGCCAGCAGCCGCGGUAAUACGGAGGGUGCAAGCGUUACUCGGAAUCACUGGGCGUAAAGAGUGCGCAGGCGGAUUAAUAAGUCAGAUGUGAAAUCCUAUGGCUUAACCAUAGAACUGCAUUUGAAACUAUUAGUCUAGAGUGUGGGAGAGGUAGGUGGAAUUCUUGGUGUAGGGGUAAAAUCCGUAGAUAUCAAGAGGAAUACUCAUUGCGAAGGCGACCUACUGGAACAUUACUGACGCUCAUGCACGAAAGCGUGGGGAG